rnacentral:rRNA from 1 species
AUUGAACGCUGGCGGCAUGCUUUACACAUGCAAGUCGAACGGUAACAGCACAUCAGUUGCUGCCGACUGGCGGACGGGUGCGUAAGACAUCGGAACACACCGGGUAGUGGUUGUUAACUGCUGGUAAGGGUAGCUAAUACAGCAUGAUACCUCAGACUGACAGCAGGGGAACUCCGGGCAUCUCCCGACUAUGGCGGAUGAUGGCAGAUUAGGUAGUUGGUGGGAUAAAGGCUCACCAAGCCGACGAUCUGUAGCUGGUCUGAGAGGAUGAUCAGCCACACUGGGACUGAGACACGGUCCAGACUCCUACGGGAGGCAGCAGUGGGGAAUAUUGGACAAUGGGCGCAAGCCUGAUCCAGCAAUGCCGCGUGGAUGAAGAAGGCCUUCGGGUUGUAAAGCGCUUUUGUAGGGAAAGAAAAGCAGCAGGUUAAUACCGCGCUGUUAUGACGGUACCGAAAGAAUAAGCACCGGCUAACUACGUG